rnacentral:lncRNA from 1 species
UUUAUGAUGGAAACGUAGAAGAGGAGACUGAUACAAUUCAUAUUUUCUCUUAAGUAUUGAAUGUUUUAGUAUGAUGUUACCAACUGUCUUUAUUAGUUUUUCUCUUUGUCAUGACUUGAAGUCUGGACCUCCAACUCCUAAACCCUUUAACCAGUUGAGCUACCUAUCCCACCUCGCUUUUUGGGUAGUACUUAACUUAAUAUAUGUAAUUGUCACUUGUUUUCUUAUUUUGAGUAAUUUGAAUGUUAAUUUUUAUCAUUAUCGAUUUUAGUUAUGUUUAUAUAUUGUGCAUUCAUAAAUUUAAUUUUUAAAUAACGUAUCGCAUCGGGAAUUUUGAAAAAAAUUUCGUAUCGCCGUAUCGGUAUCGUAUCACGUAUCAGGGCUUCAUAGCUACCAUUUGUCUGUCUGUCACUACAUCUCCAUAUUUUGAAUGUAGAAAUUUAAAAAAUUAGGUGCUCUAAAUCCUUCAAAUCGUAUAGAGGAAAAUAAGCAAUCUUGAUAUGAAAAAGAAGAACAAAAGAAGGACAAAACAUGGAGAGACCAAAGUCUUCAACUUACCCACACAAUAUUUUUAGCCAAGAUAAAAGUAUGAUGAAAGGUUCACACUUUAUCACCUCCACUAAAAUAUACACUUCAAACUUUAAAAAAUAUUGGUCACCACAAAAGACCAUGGAAAGACAGUGUAUAACAUUACAGUACACCUCGAGUCUUGUUCAAAAUGACGUGUGCAUUUUCUUUUUCCUGAAUCAAAGUAAUUUCAAUACUAAAGAUAAGAACAAACAAGUAUCACCUUCUUACCUAUAUGUCGGUUACAAGUACCGACGGAAUGAAUUUUCUGAA